AUGGAGGCUGCACGGUAUCGACCUUGGUCAGAUCUCCUGCCCGAACUUCUAAGCCUUGUCCUCAAGCGUCUCCCUUCCCUAGCUGACCGUGUUCAUCUGAGGGCAGUCUGUCACCCAUGGCGCUCUAACUGUCUGCUGCAACCGCUUCCCGUCCCGUUCCCAUGGCUCACCCUCCCUGACGGAACAUUCCUCUGUAUCCCAGGAGGCGAGGUUCACCGCAUGCCAGCUGUACCAGAUGGUGUUAGUUGCCGUGGCUCCAUCGAUAACUGGCUAUUUCUCAUGAGUAGUGAUGAUGCAUGCACAUUGAUGAACCCUUUCUCCAAAACCACUUUGGAGCUUCCUAAUCUGGUCUCAGUUUGGCAGCGUAAGGUACCCUACGAAUCUGAUCCUACACAACUUUUCUACAAGUUGGUGGUGCCCUCACCCGUGGACCUAUCACCUGAUUCCCUCAUUGUGGCAUUGAUGAUGGACGAAGUUAAUAUUGGUACAGUUUGCAUUAGCCAGCCACCGAUGGCCACUUACUCGUUACGAGGCAAUAGGCAGCCAUUAUACCACCCGUAUGAUGUUGCGUUCUUUGAUGGAAAGUUGUAUGCGGUGACUUCCAUUGGCAAGCUCUUCAUCCUUGAGUUUUGCAGCAAUCUUGUUGAAUGCGGUGGUAGACUGUUGAUGGUUCAACGAUUUAUUCGUCACCUGGGCCCUCUCUGUAGGGAUAAUAUAUUUGAAAAUAUGCAGACUAUUGGGUUUGUUGUCGUCGAGGCAGACUUGCACUCUGAGCCUUGCCGAUGGAGAAUGAUCAGUGAGUUGGGUGGCCAUGCUCUCUUUGUUGGCAAGCAUGGCUCCAAGUCUCUGCCUGCUAGAGAAUGCAGCGGAUCCCAAGAGGAUUGCAUCUACUUCAUUUGUGACUAUGCACAUCCAAAAUUCUCUAUGAGUCCAUUUCAUGACUCUGGUGUGUACAACAUGGGGAAUGGGAGGAUCACACCAUUGAUGUCUCAGACUGCAGCACCUGCACAUGAUGCUGGCCAGUGGCGCCCAACAUGGUUUUUCCAUGCUGGAGCUGUUUCACAGAUUGUCAUGUGUAUGCCUAAUUUGUUCUGCUGA
rnacentral:rRNA from 1 species